AUUUGCUUAUCAAUUAUUUCAUUACUCGUGUCCCCAUGUAGGUUGAACGACUUUUGUAAAAGAUCUCUUUUGAAGUUUGAAGAUGUCGUUUAUAAACAGAAGAAUCAAAAUAGGGCCUAGUACUGAGCCUUGGGGCACUACACAUUCUAUUGGCUUGCAAGAAGACAUCGUUGUAUCAACGCUUACAAGCUGAUGGUAUAAAAACUGUCAUUAUGGACCAAAAGUGGAGCUAGCAGGUUUACACUCUCAGCUGACGAUUUGUUGAAUUUACUUAUGGAAGUUUUGUUAGUGGCAGCCAUCAUGCAGUUUUAAAAUACUUGUCAAACGACAUCCAAUAUUAAUUUAUGAAAUAUUUUUGCACGUUGUCUUGCACUAUGUCAAGCUGACUUUAGUGCAAUUUGAAUUAAGUGCUGUUCUUAACGAAAAUAUUUCUUUCCCAUUUCUUUUCAGUAUAACUUCAUCUAAAUAGUAUUCAAAUUAAAUUUCAAUAUUUGUUUUAAUAAAGGGAACAUGACACGGUCGAAAAUAAAAAUAAAUGAAAACAAAUAAAACCAUCGAUUUUUGAUGAAUUGUUAGAUAACAAAACUACGGGUUUAAUUGCGUGUGUGUAGUGGUAGACUGUUUUGUUGAAAGUGGGUAAAUAAACACUCGUUUGACGUUCAUUUGAAUCGGUUUAACAUCAGAAGUACUUAAUCAAUUUAGAAUAUUAACAUUGUUGUGGUUAAAUACAUUUCUAUAACAUUGAUAUUCCAGUUUGAACAAUAAAUAUUUUGAUUUUCUCUCGAAUAUCUAUCUUUAUACAUAUCUCACAGUUAUUUGUGAAUCUGAAUGAAUUUUCGGUUUUUUCUAAAUCGAUUUUUUUGUCUUUUGAAGCAAGAUUUCAUCAGAAAGUGUGAAUAUAAUAAUAAAUCACUAUGUGAGUGGAAUAUAAAUUAAGUAUUAAUGUUACACGGUUUAUAAGCUUGAUUCAUUUUAUUAUAUAAGUGUGGAAUAGUUUACCUCACAUCGAGUACACAAAACCUUAUUUCUAAAAUUAUAAGAACUGAAUUAUAUUAGAAUGUAAUUUGAAUCAUUGUAAAGUAGGUAUCGAAAUUCAGAGUCAUAAGAGUCAGCGAAAGAUGAAUAGCAAAUCUAUAAACCCUUCACUGAGUUCAUCAUAGCUGCACGUAAUUUCCUUUUUACUUGUUAAAUCUUUUUAUAUGUUUGUAUUUGACAAAUCGACUCGAUUUUUCUUAUGUUGUCAUAAAAAUUAUCUAUCUAUUAGAAAAUAUAUGUAAACAGUACAUCAUUAUGAUUAUAAAUAUGUAGGAAAGUGUUUGUAAUUGUAAGUCAAAGCAGCUUAUUUUAUAUAUCAGGGCUUCUUAAACUUUUUCAUAUAGCGACCCCCUUCAAGCUUAGGAAAUUUUAAACGACCCCCUCCUCCAUAUAAACGUUCAGUUGAAAAUCGAGGAGCGCGUUAUAUUUAUUAUUUUAAAUGCUACUUCCAUAUUUUCAUUUAUAGGCCCCACAUAACAGUUUUGCAUUGCCACUUUUCUCAAAAAAUAGUUAUAAUAAAACUACAAUAGUAUUUUGUAUGAUUUUUAUUUGUAUUUAUAUUUGUACGUAGUGUGUAUACUAAUUUUGAAAUUUUAUUUAUAACGAUUGAAAAGUAUCAGAUCUUUGCGACCCUUUUUCAGUAGUUUCAGUAGUUUCAGACCCACAGUUUAAGAAGCCCUGGUAUAUAUUGCCUCAUUGUACAUUAUUAAGUAACUAUGUGGAAAAUAACACUGCUGUCAAUAAAUUAGCCUUGAAGUAAUAAUAUCCACAGAAACUGAGGGGUUAAAAUUUGUAUGCAAUAUCACCUUCUCUUCAUUGUCAUUCGAUAUCUGACGAACAUCUAGAUUUUUUUCGGUUUUUGAAGUGAAUAAGUGUGUGGUAACUAAAAAUUAAUGAAUGAGUUUUAUGAGUUAUGAGUUUUAAACCUUCCGUUAGUCGCUUGUGUAUCCAGGAGAUACAUGCUGUAUUCAGCGUACUCUUAGGUCAAUGUGUCUCCAAUCAUUUCCUAGCACAACAUUAGCAAACAUCCUUUUGUUCCAUUGUUAUGGCCAUAAAACCCAAAUGGCGGCGGUCAUGUACCUGCUCGAUACACAGCGACCAUCGACGGUAAGGUUUUGUGUUCAGAAAAUCGAUUGUAAAAUUGUUUUUUCAACAAUGAGUGCAAAAAAAGUGUUUGAUUUUUCGAAACCGGAAGAUGUCGAAGAACUCCAACGACUAAUGUUUGAGGAAAAUAAUGAAUCUAGUGCCGAUGUCGCCGACGAUGCUUCCGAUAAAUCAGAUUCAGAGGAUCAGGUCGAAACAAGAUCCAUUGAUUCAGACACCGAACUUGGAAUUACUGACAACGAAGAGGAAGAUGAAGCUACGGAAGAGGUUGAUAAUUAUUUUGUUGGUAAGUACACUAAUGUUCAAAUAAUUUUUUUUGCUAAUUUGAAAAAAAUUAGGUAAAGAUGGUACACAAUGGAAUAGAACACCUCCUAAAAUUUCAAAAAUGCGUCCCCAUAAUAUUCUAAUUAGAUUACCUGGUGUGGUUGGAAAUGAUGGAAAAAACGCCAAAACGGAGCUCGAAUGUUGGAAUUUAUUUUUCACGGACUCCAUUUUAGAUUUAUUAAUAAAAUAUACUAAUCAACACAUAGAUAAUGUACGUCAGAGAUUUGCUAGGGAAAGAAAUUGCAGACCUACACACAAAGCUAAAUUAGAGGAUUUAUAGGGCUAUUAUAUUUGCUGGGUGUAUUCAAAGAAGCUCAUCAACGACUUUCGGAUGAAAGAUAAACAUUUUUCGGAUGACAAAGUCUGAAAAACGCUUUAGGUUUUUGAUAAGGUGUCUAAGAUUUGACAAACCAGAGCAACGCGGCGUCAAGUGGAUAAAUUGGCCCCCGUGAGAGAGCUUUUUACUAUUUUCAUUAAAAACUGCCAAAAACAUUAUCAUCUAGGCCAAAAUGUGACGAUCGAUGAAAUGUUGUCAGGUUUUCGAGGUAGAUGUUCAUUUAGGCAAUAUAUUCCAUCAAAACCAAACAAGUAUGGCAUAAAAAUAUUUUGUCUUAGUGAUGCCAAAUUAUAUUACACCGCCAAUAUGGAGAUAUAUUGUGGACUACAACCUGAAGGACCUUUCCAACAGUCCAAUUCAGCGGAUUCGGUAGUAAUGCGGCUUUGUAAACCCAUAAUUGGAUCCGGUCGAAAUGUUACUGCGGAAAAUUGGUUUACUAGUUUGAAGCUAGUAAAAGAACUGGAGAAAAAUAAGAUAUCAUAUGUAGGCACAAUACGAAAAAAUAAAAGGGAAAUUCCCCCGGAGUUUUUAUCACUGAAGGAUCGCGAAUGUUUGUUGUUUUUGUUGUUUUUGGCUACACAAGAGAUGACACUCUCGUUUCAUACGUUCCGAAACAGGGAAAGACUGUAGUAUCACUUUCAGCAUGCACGUUUCAUCUACAAAAGUUUCCAAUGACACUAAUUUUAUUUUACAAUGAUACAAAAUCCGGUGAAGAUGUUGUCGACAAACUAUGUGCAUCCUAUAAUGUUGGCAGAUCAACCAGAAGAUGGCCAAUGAUGAUUUUCUAUCAUCUUAUGAACACAGCGGGUUUGAAUUCCAGGACAAUUUUUUUGGCUAACCAAAAUGAAUUUACUUCAAGAGUAGAGUACUUGAAAAAAUUAGCACUAAAUUUGGUAGACGAGCAACUUCGGAUCAGAGCCCAAAUUGAAAAUCUUCCCAUGGAACCCAUGAACCUUGCUAUAAAAUAUAAGCUUCAAGAACCUGAACCAGAAACGUCGAGGGCACCAAAGCGACAACGUUGUCGGCCAUGCUAUCAGCAGCAGAAUAAGAAAACAUCAUUUAGUUCUUAUCGUUGUCAAAAAUGCGAGAUUGUACUGUGUUUGAAAAAACAUUCAAAGAUUCUUCUACCAUUAUUUGCUUUUAUUAACAACCAUACAAUUAAAUAAUUACACUUGUCAAAAUUAAUUUCCACUUUUUCAAAAUUGCCUGCAAGUAUUAUAGGCAGCCAGGUAAGUAAAUAUUGCUUGUAGAAUAUUAAAGAAGCUUAUUAAGGCGUAAAGUGAUAAAUUCAAAUAAAAUAAUACAUUAUUUACAUGCAUGUAUCUGAGAGAUACAUAGCGAUUAACCGCAUCACUAGAAACCGCGCGCCCAGUGGAAGGUUAACAAAAUCAAGAUCUGAAGAAAUCACUCACGGUUUGUAAGAAUGGGAAUGGCCAAUUUAUCGAUAUCUGUCGACGUGUUUACGCAGGUAUUUCGAUUGAAAGAAAGUCGGGAUCACUUAAAAGCUAAAAAAAAAAAAGAAAA